CGUAGUCCCGGGCCCAGCGGGCGGGUGGCGGAGACCUGAGACGGAGGGCGGGGCCGCGUAGCCCGAGUACCGGAGCCCGAGAAUGGCCUCCCCGCCCUGCCCUUGACCGCUGUCUUUGGGCUCCUCGCUUACACUCUCGAGUCUCACUUGGAGACCUCCAGCGACGUUGGCAAGGCGGGUUGGCAAGGCGGUGUGAAUGAGAUACGCGUGACAGACGGGGAACUGGUCCCACCCGAGCCCAGUUGGCCUGGGGACACCCGAGGGCCACCGGCGCGGGAUCCCAGUUGGGGCUGUGUCCUGGGCCCCGGGCCAGACCGGGCUCCCUUCCUGGGAGACCCAGUCAGUCCUCCUCUGGUGGGCAGCCCAUCAGUGCUGUCCCCUUUACAGCUGAGGAAACUGAGGCACGGUGGUUCCAGGCAGCCCAAUCCUAGUCUCUGCCAUCGGCUCCACUAGCUGGAGAGACGUCUGGAUGGGAGACGAGGUGGGAGGAGGUCAGAAGGAAACACCCUGUCGUGAGCUCAGCUACAGCAAGGACGGCCCCGGGGCAGGAGGAGCGGAGUGAGCAGAGCUCAAAAGGACAAGUCCCGCGCGGUACAGAAGGCCCCGGAGCCAUCAGCCAGACAGUGGGAGGGUGGGUCCCGGGGGCUUAGUUUACUGGGGACGGAGCAUAUUCUGUUACCAUUUGGCUCUGGGACCCAAAGGCCCGUGUUGAAGACUUUAUCCCCAGCACACGGCGCUCAGAGGGCCCCUUAGGGAAGUGACUGAUCACCAUGGCGCUGUCAUCACGGCAUGGUGGUCCCCAUCUGUAAUCCCAGCACUCCAGAGGCUGAGGCAGGAGGAUGGCCUGUUUGCCAUCCCUUCCUUGGAGCCAGCUGAUUACAGACUGAACCUCUAUAAACUGUGAGCUAAAUAAAUCCCCUCUAACUUUGGGUGUCGGGUAUUUUGUCUCAGCAACGAGAGAAAAGUAACACAAGGUCAACCUGGGCAACUUUGUAAGACUGUCUCACAAUAAAAAUAAAAGAACUGGGUGUGUAGCUCAGGGGUAGAGCAUUUGUGGGUUCAUUCCAGUACUGGGGGAAAAAAAAAAACCUUGUGAUUUUUUUUCCCGCUUUAUUUGUAUCAAAUUUUCACAUCAUGGUUUGUUGUUGUUGUUGUUGUUUUGAGACACGGUCUCAAUAUAUAGUUCAGACUGGCCUUGAACUAUGUAGCCCAGGCUGGCCUCGAACUCAAGCGAUCCUCCUGCCUCAGACGCCCAAGUACUGGGAUCACAGGCAUACGCGACCAUGCCCAGCUUACAUCAUGUAUUUUUAAGACCUGUUAUUAACUGGAUACCCACUUAGGAUUCUUACUUCAUCCUUAAGAAAUGACCUCAUUAAGGAACAUCAUUUUCUUCUGUGCAGUAGCAUCACUUGCUCUGAAGCCUGUCUGACAUCACUGUCCUGCCUCCAGCUUUCCUCAUCGAAGUCUGCAUGGCCAAUCUCUUCCGAACCUUCUACUCUGAACCUGUGUGUGUCUUCAUAUUGAAAGUGGGUUUUAUGCAGCCGGCCGGGGUCUUGUUUUUUUAUCCAAUUUGGCAGCGUCUGAGUUUUUGUUUCAAGUCAGAGUUUCACAGUUUAGUGUCCUUCCAGAUGUCACUUAGCUAGGCCAUGGUACCAGCUAUUUGGUCAAAUAAGCGUGGAUGUUGCCACAGUUUUUUUUGUUUUUGUUUUUGUUUUUGGUACCGGGGAUCAAACUCGGAUCCUUGUGCUUGAGUGCCACCGUUUUAAAUAAGAUCAGCAUUUAAAUCAGUAGACUUUGCUUAAAGCACAAUGUGGGUAGCCCCCACCAGUUCACUGAAGGACUUAAGGCCAGCCCCCCACCCCAGAAAGAGGGAAUUCUGCCAGCAGACGGCACAGCACACCCCACACAUUAGCCCCUGCAGCCUUGACGAUCACUCCAGCCAACAUCUCACUGGUUCUUUCUCCACAGAACGCUAACAGGUGCCAAAGCUCAUGAGUGGAAAUGCUGGUAAAGCCAAUAUGGGUGCUCAUCUAGCCUCCCCAAAGACAUUUCUACAGUGGUCCCACUCGGGGAUCCAUUAGCACCCCCCAAAACAGCAGCCUGUUUAAGACAGGGUCUCACUACGUGUUCAGGAUAGCUUUGAACUCAGUAUGUACCCCAGGCUGGCCUUAAACUCAUGACAGUUCUCCUGCCUCAGCCUCCUAAGUGCUGGAAUUACAGGUAAGCACCACCGGUCCCAGCUCAACAUUUACUGACUGCUGUGUGUGCGAUGCUGGAUUGGACCCAAGGCCUUGCACGUGCUAGCCACACACUCUACCACGGUGGCCCAUCCCUA
rnacentral:lncRNA from 1 species